AUUUCAUAAACAUCAUAAAGUCAAAGCAGUGACUACUUUGUAUUAUUGGCCAGGUACGGGCUGACCAAAAGAGGAGCCUUCGCUCUCAACUUUUGGCAAUUACCACAGUUUCUGCUAACAUUGAACACAUGAGGAAUCUUCUUGUGCAUCAUGCGGAUCCCAUUAGCUUGUCCACAGACCUAUGAGCACAAUUACAGCUGUGACAUGGCUUCUGGUGGACAAAGCAAUAUGAGCUGAAUAAAGAAGAUGGUGGUGCAGACAAGGAGUUUCAGGUAGGUCUACUACCUUUAGCUUCACCCUCUUCAUCAUCGCACACAGAGCAAGGAUAUCACCUUACCAGGGCUUAAAAGUUCACGUCCUACAAUACUAACCUGGACUUAAAUGUUACUGAUCACUGCAAGCUUAGCAGGACUAUGGUACCCAU